rnacentral:ncRNA from 1 species
AUGCUCCGAGGAUAGAACGGGCAGCUAUCGCCAAUGUGGAGAUGCGUGAGUGCCGACACGCCGGAGCAA